UACGUAGGGGGCAAGCGUUGUCCGGAAUUAUUGGGCGUAAAGCGCGUGUAGGCGGUCCGCUAAGUCGGCUGUGAAAGUCCAGGGCUCAACCCUGGGAUGCCGGUCGAUACUGGCGGACUAGAGUCCGGAAGAGGCGAGUGGAAUUCCCCGGUGUAGCGGGUGAAAUGCGCAGAUAUCGGGAGGAACACCAAUGGCGAAGGCAGCUCGCUGGGACGGUACUGACGCUGAGACGCGAAAAGCGUGGGGGAGCGAACAGG
rnacentral:rRNA from 1 species